AUCUUGAAAACGGAAAAUAAAAACAGCAGACCUAUGAAGGUCAAAGGGGAAGUUAAGAAAAGCUGUAUCGAUUGUUGAGAUCUGGCGACUUGCUUAAAUUUCAUCAGCCUCACUUCUAUGGACUCUCAGAGCUGAUUACCAACUCCUACCACUGUUAACCCUCAUCCAGGAACAAGCUUAUGUCUUUAACAUUCUGAGUGGGCUUCAGCAUCCUUGCAUAUGUUCAAUUCUUAAAAACCUGUUGAAAUAAAAGAUCAGGAGACAUAGGAGGGAUGCCAGAAGACAGCGUGGCCUCACGUGUACCAGCUCUCUGCUCUCCUUUGCCUUGGGACGUUCCAUCCCUGGAAGUUUCCCUGCCCACAUCUUUGUAGAGAGUCCAUUCUCCAAGCUUCAGUGUGUCAUCUGUUAGGACUAUGACCCACCUGGUACAUUACCUCAGGGCAUUCAUUUCAGGCUCCUUCUAAGUGGUCAAGUCUUCUGUCAGCCUAACAAGCAUAGCAAGAAGAUAUAGCCCCACAACCACUUUAUGCACAUAGUUAGAAGCAUAAAAUCUCAUGGAAAGAGACCGAUUAUCCACAGAAGAUGUUGUCUUGCCAUUUCUCUCAUGUUAGAGGUAAACCUCAGGUUCUCCUCCUGCCUUUUGCUAAGUAUAUGUCUUGAUGACAAGCCUUCUGCUAAUGAGCUGUGUUUCUGGACCGAUCAUGGUAGAAGUCAAUUGAAGUGUCCCUCACUUGGGGUUUCUUAAGGCUGCACUGAUGAGGAAACUGAAACAGAAAAUCCAGAGUAAAUUCCACCAGGCCACACAGCAAGGUCUGAUAGAGCCAGGAGAGACUUUAUGAAAUCCAGACUCUCACACUAAUGCUCUAUCAGCUAGACCUCCAUGUGAGU
rnacentral:lncRNA from 1 species